rnacentral:rRNA from 1 species
UACGUAGGUGGCAAGCGUUGUCCGGAUUUACUGGGCGUAAAGAGCGCGCAGGCGGUCGUUCAAGUCGCGUGUGAAAGCCCCCGGCUCAACUGGGGAGGGUCACGCGAUACUGAUCGACUCGAAGGCAGGAGAGGGUAGUGGAAUUCCCGGUGUAGUGGUGAAAUGCGUAGAUAUCGGGAGGAACACCUGUGGCGAAAGCGGACUCACUGGACCAUUACUGACGCUGAGGCGCGAAAGCUAGGGGAGCAAACAGGG